AUAAUCGUGUUCUCAGUGUCGAGACACAUUCUGGGUGGAGUCUUUCAAUCACCAGCUGCUCACAUACAUCUCGAAACGUGUACACUUUGGGGAAGCUACAUUCAACAUGAGAAUGAACCUUGCUAUUAUGGACUGGAACGAGAAUGUACGUAGAGGGUGUACAAGUGAACGACUGGUUCAGGACAUGAGAAGACCGGAUCGUAGGACUCCCGUAAGAGUGCUGAAGGAAAAAUCGUUCAACUUUGCCGGAGAAUAUGGGAGAAUUACGAGCAGCAGAGAAAAGUUGACCUCAGUGAGUUUGUAGAGGACGUGCAACCUGAGCAAUCAGAUGAGCCAGUAGAUGAAAACGAGGACCUAUUAAACGAUGGUGUACAUGUACUUGACGAAGAUCUUUAUGAAGACAUAUAAAGAAGUAGAAGACUGGAAGUCUGUGUAUGGAACUCCAUCUGGAUUUGGGAAUCGUUCACGCACCUCCUGGAAAAGGUAUAUAGCAAUUGAUC